rfam:Echinostoma caproni strain Egypt genome assembly, scaffold: ECPE_scaffold0010193
GCACUACUGAUCAGACCGAACCAGGUCGAAACAGCUGUCCAGUGC